UACAGAGGGUGCGAGCGUUGUCCGGAAUCACUGGGCGUAAAGGGCGCGUAGGCGGCUUGAUAAGCGUGCGGUGAAAGCCCGGGGCUCAACCCCGGGUCGGCCGUGCGAACUGUCGAGCUGGAGCACUGUAGAGGCAGGUGGAAUUCCGGGUGUAGCGGUGGAAUGCGUAGAGAUCCGGAAGAACACCGGUGGCGAAGGCGGCCUGCUGGGCAGUGGCUGACGCUGAGGCGCGAAAGCGUGGGGAGCAAACAGG
rnacentral:rRNA from 1 species